AGCCAGGGGAGAAGAUUUCUUACUUCUGUGACACAAUUAAAAUGGAUAGGUACCCACUCUGAAGUGUAUUCUGCGACAGUAGAAAAGGGGAUCAAGGAGAAACUUCAAUUAAUGAAAAAUAUGCUUUCGGAAUUUUUUUUUUGACAGAUCGCUUUAAAUAUCAUAUCGUUAAGCAGAUCUUCUCUGGAGGAGACCAGACUUUUGUACUUUGCUCCAAAUACGAGAAUUGAUGAACAUUUUAAAACGAGUCCCAAAAUCCCUGGGAUUGACCUGAACUCAACUAGGGUGUUAUUUGAGAAGUUAAUGAACUCUCAGCACUCCAUGAUUCUAGAACAGAUAACUGGUGGUCUCAGGUAUGCCCGAAAUAUUUCAUGAAGCUGGUAAACCUCUAUAAAGGUGCAGUCCUUUAUCUACUGAGGGGAAGAAAGACAUUCUUAAUUCCCGUACUGUUUAACAAUUAUAUCACAGCAGCUCUCAAACUCUUGGAGAAGUUAUAUAAGGUAAAUCUUAAAGUGAAGCAUGUGGAAUAUGAUACAUUUUACAUUCCUGAGAUUUCCAAUCUCG
rnacentral:lncRNA from 1 species